GACGAACGCUGGCGGCGUGCCUAAUACAUGCAAGUCGAACGCAUUUUCUUUCACCGUAGCUUGCUACACCGAAAGAAAAUGAGUGGCGAACGGGUGAGUAACACGUGGGUAACCUGCCCAUCAGCGGGGGAUAACACUUGGAAACAGGUGCUAAUACCGCAUAAUUCCAUUUACCGCAUGGUAAAUGGAUGAAAGGCGCUUUUGCGUCACUGAUGUAUGGACCCGCGGUGCAUUAGCUAGUUGGUGGGGUAACGGCCUACCAAGGCUGCGAUGCAUAGCCGACCUGAGAGGGUGAUCGGCCACACUGGGACUGAGACACGGCCCAGACUCCUACGGGAGGCAGCAGUAGGGAAUCUUCGGCAAUAGACGCAAGUCUGACCGAGCAACGCCGCGUGAGUGAAGAAGGUUUUCGGAUCGUAAAACUCUGUUGUUAGAGAAGAACAAGGAUGAGAGUGGAAAGUUCAUCCCUUGACGGUAUCUAACCAGAAAGCCACGGCUAACUACGUG
rnacentral:rRNA from 1 species